CACUGACACACCGGCAGCCCAAUGAUGAUGUCACUGACUCUACUGCUGACCACCCUGGGGCUCCUUCUUCAAGGUUCAUCAGGAGACAUUAUUGUGACUCAAACUCCUGCAGCUCAGUCUGUUGUUUUAGGAGAGAGGGUCAGCAUCAGAUGUAAAACCAGUCAGAAUGUUCACGUUUGGAGAGGUUUCCAUCUUUUAGCCUGGUACCAACAGAAAGAUGGACAAAAUCCUGAGCUCCUUAUUGAUGGUGCCAGCUAUCGAGCAUCAGGGACU